rnacentral:rRNA from 1 species
GAUGAACGCUGGCGGCGUGCCUAAUACAUGCAAGUCGAGCGAACGGACGAGAAGCUUGCUUUUCUGAUGUUAGCGGCGGACGGGUGAGUAACACGUGGAUAACCUACCUAUAAGACUGGGAUAACUUCGGGAAACCGGAGCUAAUACCGGAUAAUAUUUUGAACCGCAUGGUUCAAAAGUGAAAGACGGUCUUGCUGUCACUUAUAGAUGGAUCCGCGCUGCAUUAGCUAGUUGGUAAGGUAACGGCUUACCAAGGCAACGAUGCAUAGCCGACCUGAGAGGGUGAUCGGCCACACUGGAACUGAGACACGGUCCAGACUCCUACGGGAGGCAGCAGUAGGGAAUCUUCCGCAAUGGGCGAAAGCCUGACGGAGCAACGCCGCGUGAGUGAUGAAGGUCUUCGGAUCGUAAAACUCUGUUAUUAGGGAAGAACAUAUGUGUAAGUAACUGUGCACAUCUUGACGGUACCUAAUCAGAAAGCCACGGCUAACUACGUGCCAGCAGCCGCGGUAAUACGUAGGUGGCAAGCGUUAUCCGGAAUUAUUGGGCGUAAAGCGCGCGUAGGCGGUUUUUUAAGUCUGAUGUGAAAGCCCACGGCUCAACCGUGGAGGGUCAUUGGAAACUGGAAAACUUGAGUGCAGAAGAGGAAAGUGGAAUUCCAUGUGUAGCGGUGAAAUGCGCAGAGAUAUGGAGGAACACCAGUGGCGAAGGCGACUUUCUGGUCUGUAACUGACGCUGAUGUGCGAAAGCGUGGGGAUCAAACAGGACUAGAUACCCUGGUAGUCCACGCCGUAAACGAUGAGUGCUAAGUGUUAGGGGGUUUCCGCCCCUUAGUGCUGCAGCUAACGCAUUAAGCACUCCGCCUGGGGAGUACGACCGCAAGGUUGAAACUCAAAGGAAUUGACGGGGACCCGCACAAGCGGUGGAGCAUGUGGUUUAAUUCGAAGCAACGCGAAGAACCUUACCAAAUCUUGACAUCCUUUGACAACUCUAGAGAUAGAGCCUUCCCCUUCGGGGGACAAAGUGACAGGUGGUGCAUGGUUGUCGUCAGCUCGUGUCGUGAGAUGUUGGGUUAAGUCCCGCAACGAGCGCAACCCUUAAGCUUAGUUGCCAUCAUUAAGUUGGGCACUCUAAGUUGACUGCCGGUGACAAACCGGAGGAAGGUGGGGAUGACGUCAAAUCAUCAUGCCCCUUAUGAUUUGGGCUACACACGUGCUACAAUGGACAAUACAAAGGGCAGCGAAACCGCGAGGUCAAGCAAAUCCCAUAAAGUUGUUCUCAGUUCGGAUUGUAGUCUGCAACUCGACUACAUGAAGCUGGAAUCGCUAGUAAUCGUAGAUCAGCAUGCUACGGUGAAUACGUUCCCGGGUCU